rnacentral:rRNA from 1 species
GCAAGAUUACCCGCUGAACUUAA